rnacentral:sRNA from 1 species
CUUUAUUAAGAUUUGUGCAUGAUACAUAAAAGACAAAACCCUCUCUCUCUUUCUCUUUAAAAAGGCAUGCAGUGGGUCACAUGGAUGGAGAUGGAUCAUGUGAUGCAACAACAUACAUUGCCCACUUCUACUGGAAACUAUUCUUAGCAGUGAUGCAGGGUAUUUUAGAGGCUUCCUAACUACACAUUGACCACCAAACAGUAUCAAAAAAUUCAAGAUUCAAAAGCAUGCUUACAGGACUUAAUUUCAACACAUACAUUUUCAAAGUAAUAAAAGUGAGAAAGAAGAGAAGAAUGUGGAAAGAAAGAAAGAAAGUAGAAAGAGAGUGAUAUGAAUGUGACCUCUCCAACAAUGGAAUCUAGAGCUAGAAGGUUGUGCACAAGAUCAUUUUCUUCCUUCUCUCAUGCAUAUGUGAUUAGAGGCAGCAGCAUUGAAAAUUGAAAUAUAUGUACAUACCUUAUCUAGUCAAAUGACAGAAGAUUCACUCAUAAUAAUUGUGCAGUGUAUAUAUAAAUACAUUAUUCCAUGAUUGAUGAGUAGAAGGAGCUACUUCUGUAUGUGUAGGUCACGGGUGUGCUUUGGAUUGUACAAAAAUGAAUAAAGGUCAGAAU